GUUGUUGUGGCCGAGUGGUUAAGGCGAUGGCCCUGAAAUCCAUUGUGGUCUCCCCGCGUAGGUUCAAGUCCUGCCGACAACA